rnacentral:rRNA from 1 species
AGUUCGGAUUGUAGUCUGCAACCCGACUACAUGAAGCUGGAAUCGCUAGUAAUCGCGGAUCAGAAUGCCGCGGUGAAUACGUUCCCGGGUCUUGUACACACCGCCCGUCACACCAUGGGAGUCGGAAAUGCCCGAAGUCAGUGACCUAACCGCAAGGAAGGAGCCGUCGAAGGUGGAGCCGAUGACUGGGGUGAAGUCGUAACAAGGUAGC